AUGGUUCGUUUGCUAAACUGCAUCGUCGCUGUGUCCCAGAACAUGGGCAUCGGCAAGAACAGGGACCUGCCCUGGCCACUGCUCAGGAAUGAAUUCAGAUAUUUCCAGAGAAUGACCACAACCUCUUCAGUAGAAGGUAAACACAAUCUGGUGAUUAUGGGUAAGAAGACUUGGUUCUCCAUUCCUGAGAAGAAUUGACCUUUAAAGGGUAGAAUUAAUUUAGUUCUCAGCAGAGAACCCAAGGAACCUCCACAAGGAGCUCAUUUUCUUGCCAGAAGUCUGGAUGAUGCCUUAAAACUUACUGAACAACCAGAAUUAGUAAAUAAAGUAGACAUGAUUUGGAUAGUUGGUGGCAGUUCUGUUUAUAAGGAAGCCAUGAAUCACCCAGGCCAUCUUAAACUAUUUGUGACAAGGAUCAUGCAAGACUUUGAAAGUGACACCUUUCUUCCAGAAGUUGAUUUGGAGAAAUAUAAACUUCUACCAGAAUACCUAGGUGUUCUCUCUGAUGUCCAAGAGGAGAAAGGCAUUAAGUACAGAUUUGAAGUAUAUGAGAAGAAUGAUUAAUAUGAAGGUGUUUUCUGGUUUAAAUUGUUCCCCCUCCCUCUCAAAAAAGUAUGUAUUUUUACAUUAGAAAAAAAGUAUUUUGUUGACUUUAGAUCUAUAAUUAUUUCUAAGCCACUUGUUUUUAUUCCCCACUUGACUCUAUCAGACACCACUUAUGAAACAUUCUUGCUAUAAAUAAGUGCUUCUCCAAGACCCCGACUGAGUCCCCAGCACCUGCUACAGUGAGCUGCCUUUCCACACCCAUCACAUGUGACACUCUUGCCAGUCCUUGACAUUGUCGGGCUUUUCAAAUGUUGGCAAUAUUUAUUAAAGGUGAAGAUCCACAUACCCUUCAA